GUUAAGAAUCUUUACAUUUCAGUCUUUUUACACUAAGCAUAUACUUUUGUUAGUUCGUGAGUUUUCUUUGUGGGUGUUGCAGGGGAGAGAGCCUAUAAAUAUGUGCUUUACUAUGGAACCCAUGGCAGACAGAGGCUCGCUGUUUUUUUUUUUACUUUGUUACUUUGGUCUGCUGAUGUUGAGUGUGGUUUUGUCAAAAUAACGAUGUUCUUUCAUCAUAACUUGGAGCCUCAGUGCAACGUGUUUUGGAACAAUAAAAAUUGAGUAGUAUCAAGCCUCAGUGGCAGGAAGAGGUUCACAUACUUUCUGCUCAGCCUUGGGAUUUGUGUUGGAGCACGAGUGUGAAGCAUUUAAGAUUCCAAAGUAAAUCUCUUUGCCAUCCCCAAGGAUGAGGAAUUCUUGACAAGAUUGGUUUGGCACUUUUUUGUCCUGUUGAUUUGCCACUUCGUUUGUUCUAAUUUAUUAUUUCCAUUUUCUUGCUAUUAUUUAGGAAAUGGCUGUUUUAGCGUACAUUUUUUUUUUUGCUCUAUUUUACUCUUGUUUUAUGAAGAAUUGUUUGCCUAAAUUUUGGAUAUAAUUCUAAAUUGGAUGAUUGAGAGAUGUGUUUAUUUAUUUUUCAGCGAGUUCAAGUCUUCGGAUAUGUAGAACAUAUUGCGAUUCUCGAUUAAAUUAAAUGGUUUUGAACGGAGAACACAUCCAGAUAAAUCAAAUUUCUUCAAUGAGUGAUUCUUUAUAAUAAAAUUUCUUCAAUGAGUCAUUCUUUAUAAUUUCUAUUUCUUUGUUUGGUAAUCCAGAGAAGCGAUUAUUCUUUUUGCAGCGGGCUAAGAAGUUUCGAUUUUUAGAAUGUGUUGAUAAAAUGGACAUGAACAUGGAGCCAAGAGUUUUAAUUUGGUGAUCUCUGCGGGCUAAGAAGUUUCGGUGUCUAGAAUGACUUGAUAAAAUGAACAAGAACGAAGAAAGAUUCAAUAUAGAUAAAUCAAAUUUCUUCAUGUUCUGUAUUCUUAUUGUUUUCUGCUUGAUAAUUUGGUAUUUUGGUUGUGGUUGGUUUCAUUCUUGGAGUUUGCUGGUUUUAUUGUAAUGAUUUAAUUAAUAUUAUUAUCGAUUUCAUUCUUAAUAGACUUGUUCUUCCAAUUCCUCUUAUUUUUCAGAUAUAAUUCUUCGUGUACAGAUGGGUGUUUUGCUUUUAAUCUGUUGGUAACACGCUUGAGUUCUGAUUUGAAUUUUUCUUUUUUGCGAAGCUUGAUGCAUGAUUAUCACCCUCUGGUUGAAGUUUUUGUGAAGCUUACUGCAUGGUAGUGUGUUUUGAAAUCAUUAGAUAUAUUUUGGUAAACUUUUCAAUUCCUCUAUUCUCUUUGUACUCAAGCCUUAGUCUGUUUUCUUAUAUUGGGACUCAAUUUCUCUAUUCUCUCUUUGUAAAUAUGAUAUUCUGAUCAGCGCCUUGGUUUGGAGAAUUAUGCUAUUAUUAUUUCUUUAUUCUUGAUUUUUUUUACAACUACUUGUAAUAGUGUAAUUUUGCUGUACAUGUCUGAUGUUCACAGGGUUACAUGGAUUUAUUGUAUUUCAUAAGUGUGUCCUUUUUCAAUCACACUGCAACUUGUUAAUUUUGUUGUCUGAAGUGGAGAAAUUGGAGAUAAGUGCCUUUGCGGUUAUUUUUCUUGCUCUGUUAUAUAUUGUCAGAUGUUGGUGGGCAUAAUUUGGCAAUUUGAACUUAGAUUUGAACAUUUCUGCAAUCAUGCUUCUUGAUUCUUCUCUGCAAGCUUGGGGGAGAUUAUCAGUAUUCAUCAUUAGGAUAUGCAGAACCUGAGUACAAUAUUCUGGAAUAACUCUUUGUCCUUCCUGAGAUGAAGAACUUUGGACGCCUUGGUAAUGACGUAGGUGUUGUUUGUCUGAUGAUUUGGUCGUUGGAUAUGUUUUCUAUAUAGUCUUCUUUUACAGGUUUGAGUGGUUUCAAUUGUUAUUAAUGAUUUAGAUGAUGAUGAUACUCCUAUAAAGAUAUCAUUUUGGUUAAAGUGGUCUGGGACUCUUCUGUGUUAGGAAGAAUCCAAAAUUGUGUCACAUAUCAUGUGCAGGCUUUAAUUUGGUUAUCUCUUCUAAGACUCUUUACGUUUCAGUCUACGUUUGAUACUCAGCAUCUACUUUUGUCAGUUUCGUUGAGUUGAGAUUUCUGUGUGGGUGAAACAGGGGAGAUAACUAGUAAAUGUGUGGGGUGCUCGUCGAACCUGAGGCAGGCAGAGGUUCUCAUACUUUUUUGUGCUUUAGGAAUGUCAAUAUGAAGCAUUUAAGAUUUCUAGAUUUCAUCUUUUUAUCCCUCUCCAUUCCCUAAAGAUGAGGAUUUAUGUACAGUUGCUAGAUGGAAAAAUAACGUUCUUCACAGCGUAGAGGCUCAAGUUUUGAUUUUGGUGAUCAUCGCAGGUGAUGUAAUAUAUGUACACACAAGUCCUUCUGGUUCUAUCCUCCUCCUGUUUUCUCACUCUUUUUUCCUUGGUUACUCUGGUAUAUGUUGAGGUUUGAUUUGCUUCUUAAUGGCUUCUGUCUUGGAGUUUGUUGUUCUUAUUUUAUUGAUCGGUGCUACUAAUGAUUUGUACCAAUUGUUCUUCCAAUUCCCAUUUGAUUAUAUAUAUAGUUUUUGUUAUAUGAUUUGUCGAACUAUUAUAAAUAAAAGAAUAUUAAGAUAUUCGUUUAUCCAUUUUGCAGCGAGUUGAUUUCUGGAUAUCUGGAACAAUUUGAGAUUAUAAUAAAAACGAUAAUAGAUACAGAUGCAUAAUCAAAUUUCUUUGAUCAUUCGUUCUUUAUGAUUUUUAUUUUUGGGCUUUGAUUACAUUACACUCAAAUUGAACCGUGAACCUGUUUUUCUGCAGUAUGGUUUAUCAAAAUCAAAAAAAUGUUGAUCUUUCAUCAAGUCACGGAGACCUCAAGUGUUGAUUUGCUUCUCUCUUUUUUAAAUAUUUUAGUUUUCAAUAACUCCAUCGCUUUUCAAUGCAUAUUUUCUUGAUAUUUUAUUUCCUUCGAUGUUGCAGGAAGGUAAUUUAUGAACACUGAUUCCUUCUGGUACUGGUUCUAUCUUUCUUUUGUUUGAUCUCCAUGUUUUGUAUUCUUAUUCUUUUCUGAUCUUUUGAUUUGGUUCUGUCUUUGACCGCCAUACAUGUGAAUUAAAAUAUGACACGUUGUUUCAUGCAGUGUAGUGUGUUUUGAAACAAUAAAAUUCUAAGUAGCAUCUAGCCUCAGGUUUAUUUUGCUACCAUGUACUUUGUUCUAUGUUUGGCAUUUUGAUCUGAAUUCUGACAGGGCAAAAGUUUACAUGAUUCUUGAGGAGUUGAGAAAACUGGGUGGUCCUCUCUUUAUAAUGUUGAUUUGCGACUUUUGUUUGAAGAAUUAUACUACUAUUCUUUCUUUCUUCUUGUUUAUUAAUUGACAACUUAUUUUUCAUAGCGUAAUCUUUUUGUAAAUGUAUCAUGUAGUGUUGGCCGAGCAAAUCUUACAUGGGUUUGGCGUAUUACAAUUGUCUUCAUCUUUCUCAAUCACACUACACCUUUUCAAUUCGCCGUCUCAAAUGUAGAACAUUGGAGAUGAGUUUCUUUGCCACUUGGUUCUACUUACCUUUGUGAACAAAUUAAGAAGGACACAUGAACCAUUAUGUUCUGAUGGCCGUGUUAUAUAUUUGCUAGGCUUUAAUUUGAAUUUCUCUUCUCUGAUUAUGAAUUCUUUACAUUUCAUUAUAUCCAUUUCAGCAUCCACGCUUCUCGAUUCCUUUGUGAAAGCUUAGAGAGAGGUUAUCACAGACUCUCCCUUUUAUCUUUGGGAAAUAACUUAGUAUUUCUUCCAGUGGUGAAGUUUUUGUGUUUCUAUAUCGGUAACUUCAGUUUUACUCUGUGUGGUUUUGCAUAUAAGCUUCUGGAGUAACUCUUCCCUUCCCAAGGAUUAGGAGUUUUGGACAACUUGGUUAGGUGUUUGUUAUGAUGAUUUCUUUGUUGGGGAUAAGUUGGCUAGGGAGAGAUGAUAUUCUUCUAGUGUUAUUUUCUUUGUUAUCUUUUUAUUUAUGUGUACUCCUAAAAUGAUAUUGUCAUUGUUACAGUGGCUCUAGGACUCCUCUGGUAUGGCAUGUGGGAAUAUAAAACCGGAAAUUUGGCUUGUGGCAGGCAAGCACAGGUUAACAUACUAUCCAUUGAAUUCAUCCUUGAGAUAAAACAGAAAUUUGGCUUGUUUUGAGAUUGGGCAUAUUUUUCUUUUUAUGGUGUGUCUACUAGUGUUGGAUUUCUUGUUUUGAUUUUGUAUCAGCAGCAUGAAUAUUGAAGCAUACAAGAUUUGAAGUAUAUAUUUUUGCAUGUGUCAAGGAUGAGGAAUUCUGGACAGCUUGGUUUUGGCUCUCUCUUGUUCUUUUAAUUUACCACUUCCCUUGUGAUGAUUCUUUCACUAUUUUCUCGUCCUUUGUGAUAUAUGAAUCUUCUGUCUCAAAUGGGUCUGUCAUAGCGGGGAAGCCUAAAUAAUUGUCGUUUCACAUUGUUGUAUUCUAAAGCAUAUAUUUAGUGAUUUCUAUUAUGACUAUGAAUUAGCUGUAGCAUAUAUUUGCAUUGUUGUAUUCUAAAGCAUUUGGUGAUUUCUAUUAUGACUAUGAAUUCUUUAUGUUUCUGUCACUUGAAUUUAGCUUUCUUGAUUCCAUAAGUUCCUUGUGGUUGUUAUAGUGUAGAUAACCUAUGAAUGUAAUGUGGGAUAAAAAUGGUCAUUUUUAUUUAAAUCUACUUUUUAUGGAUUGGUAUAGUUGUCUUUUGGUGAUGUGAUGUGGUAAUGUUGAGUUUUGUGUGUUUUUUAUCAGGAAUUUGAUGUUCUUUCAUUAUAGCAUGGAGCCUCAUGUUUUGGUUUGCAUAUUUCAAUUUAAAGCAUAUUUUCUUGAUAUGUUAGUUCAUCUGGUGUUAUAAUUUUCUUUCUCUUGUUUGAUCUUCUGACUUUGUAUUCUGGUUCUUUUUUUUUUCUGGUCUUUUGAUUGUGAGGUUAGAUUUGGUUCUGGCUUUGAUACGUUAAUUGAAAAAUGACGUUGUUUUCUGCAGUGCAGUGUGUUUUGAAACAGUAACAUUUGAGUAGUAUCAAGCCUCAGGUUUAUUUUGGAACCUCUACUUGGAGCAUGAGUGUGACGAUUCCAGAGUAAAUCUCUUUGCCAUCCUCAAGGAUGAGGAAUUCUUGACAAGCUUGGUUUGGCACUUUAUAGUCUUGUUGAUUUGCCACUUCCUUUGUUAUAAUUUUUUAUUUCUAUUUUCUUGUCAUUAUUUGGGAAAUUGUUGGUUUGACAUCCUUUUUUUGACUCUCUUCACUGUUGUUUUAUGAAGAAUUGUUUGCAAAUUUUUUGGAUAUAAUUCAUUGGAUGAUUGAGAUAUGUGUUUAUCCAUUUUGCAGCAAGAUGAAGUCUUUGUGUAUGUAGAACAUUUUUCAUUUCUUGAUUAAAUGGUUAAGACCGUAGAACAUAUCCAGAUAAUUUUUCAAUGAGUCAUUCUUUAUCAUUUCUAUUUCUUUGCUUUAAUGGCAACACAUACAAAUUAAACGGUGAAAAUGUUUUCUACAAUGCACGGAUUCUUCAGAGCAUGGAGCCUAGAGUUUUAAUUUGGUGAUCUCUAGUAAAUUCUUUCUUUUUCAAUCUUUAUCAAUUCUGAGAGCAUAUAUUUUAUGAUUUGUUAUUUAUUCUUUGGUGUUGCAGGAGAGGAUAUGAUUUUGAUUUGGUCAUCUCUUAGCAAUCCUUGCAAGCUCCUCAAUGAUCUGCUUGUUUACUCCGAAUAGUGCAUUAUUGUCCAAUAUGAUUUUACAUCCCACUAUCAAGGAUUUGGUAGAAAGGUGAAUGGGCAAUUGCUUAAUUUGAGAGGAAUUUGUGUUCCAUGCAAUUCGGAUCAGCGAAUUGGUUUGGAGGAUUAUGCUACUAUUAUUUCUUUAUUCUUGGUUUUUUCUACAGCUAUUUGUCAUGUCGUAAUUUUGUUGUACAUGUCUGGUGUUCACAGGGUUACAUGGAUUUGGUUUAUUUCACAAGUGUCCUUUCUCAAACUCUGCAACAUGUUAAUUUUUAUGUCCGAAGUGAAGAAAUUGGAGAUGAGUACCUCUGCGAUACAUUUUUCUGUUUGUGGUGUUGCAAGCUAGGACUGUUAUCAAAGGCAACCAAACAGUUCACCAAGUCUUAAUUCAAUGGGAUCAACAUGCUGCGUCUGAAGCUACAUGGGAAGCAAUUGAUGACUUGCAAUAGAAGUUUCCUUCUUUCAACCUUGAGGACAAGGUUAAUUUUAAUGGGGAGGGUAUUGUAAUGAAGCCACAAAGAGAAGAGGGUCUAGAAGCAGCUAAUGAGUCAGCAAAUCAAAGAAAGGGCCCACAAAAUAUGUAUGAAAAGGAUAUUGCUAACAACCACGCGGAAACGGCGGAAGCGAAGGCACCUCGCAAAUAAAUAAGGACACGUACACCACAUAGCAUGUGGAAAGAAUAUGUGAAGGCAUGAAUCAAUUAUAUAUACUGCAGUAGUGAUAUUUUGUAGGUAUGUGAUUGGUGUUGUUGCUACUUCUCUCCCUAAACUCUCUAUUCACAUCUGGUUUUCUAUUGUAUGCCAACUGUUUGUUAAAAGUCCUAAUACAAUUAUCCUUAUUCUCUCUUCCUUUUCUAUAUUACUUGCUAGAACUAUUUCAUUCGUUAACAUCUUUAAUCAGGUCGUUGUUGCUGAUAACUACUUCACU